UCAAUUAGGUUUUUUCUUCCCCUUACCUUUCUGUUGGCUUUUCUCUCUCGCCGAUCUCUGCUUCGAUCCGUCUUAUUUUGCGUUCUGUUCUUCUAAAAGCUUGCGUUCCUCUCAAAUCCUCUGUACUUUAUUUCACAAAAUAUUCACGAAAUUGGCCUCUAAAGUUUUAUCCUUUGUUGUAAAAUCAUGCGUUCCUUCUUUUUGGUUUUUUGGGAUUUUGUUUGCGGUCUCCGUUUUCAAAGAAGUCGUGCAUCCCUGUGAACGUAGAUUUGUUGACGUUCUGUGGAAACUCAUAAAAUUGGUUUCCAAGGUUUUAUCCUGAACUUGCAAUCGCUGGGAAAACUUUGUGUCUCUUUUUGCGUCUGUCAUACCGGUGUUGUCGCCGGAUUUCCGACGAAUUUUCAGCCCAGUUUGGGAACGGCCUGUUUUCAGGUUAUUGUCCGAUAAAUUCCAUUGAACCCAGUGUUUUCGAGGCUUUGCUGGCUAAAAGAGGAUUCUGCCUUUGACGUCCUCUGUUGAAAAAUCUGAAAUUUGGCAGGAGCUGGAACCGUUGUUUUGGGUAUGGU